GUGUCAGCAGCCGCGGUAAAACGUAGGGGGCGAGCGUUAUCCGGAUUUACUGGGCGUAAAGCGCGUGCAGGCGGCUUGGUAGGUUGGACGUGAAAGCUCCUGGCUUAACUGGGAGAGGCCGUUCAAGACCGCUGAGCUUGAGGACGGAAGAGGGAAGUGGAAUUCCCGGUGUAGUGGUGGAAUGCGUAGAUAUCGGGAGGAACACCAGUGGCGAAAGCGACUUCCUGGUCCGCACCUGACGCUCAAGCGCGAAAGCGUGGGGAGCGAACGGGAUUAGAAACCCCCGUAGUCC
rnacentral:rRNA from 1 species